rnacentral:rRNA from 1 species
GACGAACGCUGGCGGCGUGCUUAACACAUGCAAGUCGAACGGAAAGGCCCUGCUUUUGUGGGGUGCUCGAGUGGCGAACGGGUGAGUAACACGUGAGUAACCUGCCCUUGACUUUGGGAUAACUUCAGGAAACUGGGGCUAAUACCGGAUAGGAGCUCCUGCUGCAUGGUGGGGGUUGGAAAGUUUCGGCGGUUGGGGAUGGACUCGCGGCUUAUCAGCUUGUUGGUGGGGUAGUGGCUUACCAAGGCUUUGACGGGUAGCCGGCCUGAGAGGGUGACCGACCACAUUGGGACUGAGAUACGGCCCAGACUCCUACGGGAGGCAGCAGUGGGGAAUAUUGCACAAUGGGCGGAAGCCUGAUGCAGCAACGCCGCGUGCGGGAUGACGGCCUUCGGGUUGUAAACCGCUUUCGCCUGUGACGAAGCGUGAGUGACGGUAAUGGGUAAAGAAGCACCGGCUAACUACGUGCCAGCAGCCGCGGUGAUACGUAGGGUGCGAGCGUUGUCCGGAUUUAUUGGGCGUAAAGGGCUCGUAGGUGGUUGAUCGCGUCGGAAGUGUAAUCUUGGGGCUUAACCCUGAGCGUGCUUUCGAUACGGGUUGACUUGAGGAAGGUAGGGGAGAAUGGAAUUCCUGGUGGAGCGGUGGAAUGCGCAGAUAUCAGGAGGAACACCAGUGGCGAAGGCGGUUCUCUGGGCCUUUCCUGACGCUGAGGAGCGAAAGCGUGGGGAGCGAACAGGCUUAGAUACCCUGGUAGUCCACGCUGUAAACGGUGGGUACUAGGUGUGGGGUCCAUUCCACGGGUUCCGUGCCGUAGCUAACGCUUUAAGUACCCCGCCUGGGGAGUACGGCCGCAAGGCUAAAACUCAAAGGAAUUGACGGGGCCCCGCACAAGCGGCGGAGCAUGCGGAUUAAUUCGAUGCAACGCGUAGAACCUUACCUGGGUUUGACAUGGAUCGGGAGUGCUCAGAGAUGGGUGUGCCUCUUUUGGGGUCGGUUCACAGGUGGUGCAUGGCUGUCGUCAGCUCGUGUCGUGAGAUGCUGGGUUAAGUCCCGCAACGAGCGCAACCCUUGUUCACUGUUGCCAGCACGUUAUGGUGGGGACUCAGUGGAGACCGCCGGGGUCAACUCGGAGGAAGGUGGGGAUGACGUCAAGUCAUCAUGCCCCUUAUGUCCAGGGCUUCACGCAUGCUACAAUGGCUGGUACAGAGAGUGGCGAGCCUGUGAGGGUGAGCGAAUCUCGGAAAGCCGGUCUCAGUUCGGAUUGGGGUCUGCAACUCGACCUCAUGAAGUCGGAGUCGCUAGUAAUCGCAGAUCAGCAACGCUGCGGUGAAUACGUUCCCGGG